UAAUAUUUAUAAAUAUAUAUUUACAUUUCAGAUAUUUUUGGAUACUCAUUCGGUUUUCGGUUCGGAUCGGGUUGGAUACCGGUUCUUCAGAUAAAUUAAUUUAGGAUCCAUUCGGUUAUUUACCCCGGGUUCGAUCAGGUUCGGAAUCAUGAUUUUCGGAUCGGUUUCUUCGGUUGCGGAUAUCUCGCCCAACCUUAAAUAAAAGAUAAGUAAGCCCAAUUUUAGUAACGGACAAAUUCCAGAUAAGUAAGCUCAUUAUAACAUUAGUGGGUAGUCUUGGCCGAACAGAAAUGUCACUGGAUAGAUGGGCUUUGCGCAUAAAAGUAGAGAGGCCCACAUGAUGGUAAGGUGUUUAAGCUAUCCCAAUAAAAUUUUAAGGGCAAAUCAAUCAUUAAGUAGUCACCCCUAAGCUAAAUGACAUGCUGUUGGUGCAAUUGACAUUUUCGCUGCGUUUUUUGCACUAACGUGGAAGUCCCUCUCA
rnacentral:lncRNA from 1 species